rnacentral:rRNA from 1 species
UACGGAGGGGGGCUAGCGUUGUUCGGAAUUAUUGGGCGUAAAGAGCUCGUAGGCGGUCUGUCGCGUCGGCUGUGAAAACUCGGGGCUCAACUCCGAGCUUGCAGUCGAUACGGGCAGGCUAGAGUUCGGCAGGGGAGACUGGAAUCCUGGUGUAGCGGUGAAAUGCGCAGAUAUCAGGAGGAACACCGGUGGCGAAGGCGGGUCUCUGGGCCGAUACUGACGCUGAGGAGCGAAAGCGUGGGGAGCGAACAGG